rnacentral:rRNA from 1 species
AUUGAACGCUGGCGGCAGGCUUAACACAUGCAAGUCGAGCGGAGAUGAGGUGCUUGCACCUUAUCUUAGCGGCGGACGGGUGAGUAAUGCUUAGGAAUCUGCCUAUUAGUGGGGGACAACAUUCCGAAAGGAAUGCUAAUACCGCAUACGCCCUACGGGGGAAAGCAGGGGAUCUUCGGACCUUGCGCUAAUGGAUGAGCCUAAGUCGGAUUAGCUAGUUGGUGGGGUAAAGGCCUACCAAGGCGACGAUCUGUAGCGGGUCUGAGAGGAUGGUCCGCCACACUGGGACUGAGACACGGCCCAGACUCCUACGGGAGGCAGCAGUGGGGAAUAUUGGACAAUGGGCGGAAGCCUGAUCCAGCCAUGCCGCGUGUGUGAAGAAGGCCUUUUGGUUGUAAAGCACUUUAAGCGAGGAGGAGGCUACCUGGAUUAAUACUCUAGGAUAGUGGACGUUACUCGCAGAAUAAGCACCGGCUAACUCUGUGCCAGCCGCCGCCGUAAAAC